UUUUUUACCAUUUUAUAAGACGUACUCGUGUUGAAUCGUGUAUGUGAUUAGCACUUAUUUAGUGGUUUUUGUUGUGCUGGUCGAGUAACCUUAGCUCUCUGUGGUUCUCGUCUUUCAUCAUGGGUGGGGAAUUAUUGUGAAAACAUGCAUAAUUAAUUGCUGGCAGAUAGGAUGAUUAAUAAUUUUGUGUUUCAACUUAUAAAGAUGACAACGCAUAGUGAACCUUGGAGCUUCUUCCCUCUGUUUGAUUUCCAAUAAUAUAUUUGGGAUCACUCAACUGGGAAUAAUGAAUGCCUCUAGAUAUUGCUAAUUAUUAUGGAUGCUAAUCAAUGUAGCACUACAAACUCUUGAUUUUCACAAGAAAAAUGCAUAAAGAGAUUAUUUGAAAUGGUUACCUUUUCAUUUCAUUCUUUCAGUUUAUGGAGAAAAUUCAUUUAUUUGAAUAUAUGACAGAGUAAUGAACCCAGUCAUCUUAGGUUGGCAGAACAAGAUCGCACUCUCGUCACAUAUGGCUUUUGUUCAAUUAUAAAUAUAUUACAGAGUAUUCUCAGAAUAUUUUACAUUGACAAUGGACAGAUUCACUUGCAAACUUUAGUCAAUAACGAGGUUCAGUGUCUCGUGGGACCAACUAUUAGAAUUUUUAGAUCCUUCAAAGAUCACAAAUUUUACACGAGAAGUAUACAUUAAUAUUCUUGAUUCUUAAAGAGAUUCACCGGUUCAUUUCUACUUGUAGUGUCCUUAUUGGUCUUUUCCUAGCCACAAGACAGGGUCAAAAGAUAUCGUAUCUGGAUGGACUAUAAUUUUUGUCAUUCUUUAUUCAUGUUGAACAGGAAAAAUUAUAAUCAAAAUUUUCUAUGUUGCUUGCUCAAUGUGCUUAGAAACUUUCCCUUUUGGAGAUGGAAGGAGUGCCAGCGCCAUUGUCAAUAUGUCAGAGUCUAACGCUACAUGCAGACAUUACUCAGUGGGACCUUUCUGGGAUAGCAUACAUGCUACGAAUUUCACAGUGCCUGGAAAAAUUAGUCAUAUGCUUGACUGGCCUCCCCCUAUCAAUGGUUUGUUCCUUUGCUGUAUUAUUUUUAGUUCGCUUCUUGUGCUGGCUUCCUCUUUGCAUGAAUGUUUAAAAGUGAGUUAAAACUUUAGAAGCGUGUAAAAAUGAUAAAUCUCAACUCUUAUUUGUUCCAGCAAUUGAAAUUUGGUCAUGAGUCUGUCACUCUACUCCACUUUUUCUCGAGGCCAAUUUCAACCGUUUUAGUUCAUGUCCUAAAGUAAUUGCAGUGUUAUACUGGAGAUUCUUUUGCUGCCAUGUAGGGUUUGGAUCUUGAACUGACAAAUUAGCGAUGAGCACCUAGAAAGAAAGAUAGUUUUAUUGUGUAGAUGAGUUUAAAAGUUCAAUUUCUGUAGUACUUAAAAUAAAGUAAAACUAACUAGCACCUACCAUGGACAAAUGAAAUGUUUUUGUUUUUUGAAAUUUUGGUAAGGCAACAAAUUCUAUUUUUUGUGGAUCCGCAUGUGAUGUGAAGUAAGUUUCUUAAACGGGGAAUCUAUGUGCAGUAUAGUCUUGACGAAGAAUCGAAAGAAAGUUUUAACUAUGAUGAAGAUGAUUUUUUAUGUUCACGAAAGGGGAAAUUUCAAUGCUUGGCGAAACAUCUCAAGAGAGUUGAGAUCACCAUUGAUAAUUUUGGGUUGGAACGUCUGCUUGCCCUGAUUAAGUUUCUUCUUGGUGAUGCACUUGCGCUGGAGAAGAUGAUUAUCAAGGCUAAUUUGAACAUGGGACAUGGACAAGAACACGUUCGAGCCACUAUUCUUUCGAAACUACUUGUUGUGAGCCAAAAUAUGCUCUGCUAUCGAAGAGCUUCCAGAAAUGCUGAAGUUAUCUUCAGCCACUCUUUCAAAUAGGUGUCCUUAAAGCAUAUGAAAAUCUGGGUUUCUUGUUAAUCUUAUGGCAGGCGUAUUUUGCCUUGGGCACUACACUACUCAUUCUUAUCUACAUUGUCAGGUUUUAACAUGUACCUAAUCUACACUUCUGUCAAGUUUAGUGUAGUUGUAAGUAUGAACCUCCUUAAGGAAUGAGGUUAAUGGUAGUGUUUUUGAUUAUCAGCACAUGAAGGGUGUUUGGUCAAGAUAAUUUUCUUUAUCUGCACUCUUGGAAGACUAAGCGAAGUCUUCAUGUAUUUGUGCGAAACUGCAUGGACAUCAUUACAAUUUGAUUUUAGUUUCAGCACGACCCUCUGUUUCCAAGGGAAGCAAACUGUCUGAAAAUUCAUGAUUAAGCAAGGAACUCCUACGGUUACAUUUGAUUUCAGAGGAGCUAACAUGAAGUACUGUUUUGCUGUCUAAAUGAAGAUGAACUCGAAUUUUAACAUCAACUUUUUUUAUGGUUUAAUUUGGUUCAAUGGCAUUUCUUUCCCAACAAAAGCAUUUCCAAAUGGACCUAAACUGUAUUUCACGGUCCAAUUAGGUUCAACUCUUCGACAACCAAAACAAACCGCGAAAUCAAGUAAUGUUUGUGGGAACUCGUAAGUUCAUGAAAUCUGUAACAAAUAGCACAUAUAAAGAAAAAAAAAUCCCGUCAUUUAUUUCGGUUGGAGUCGAAAAAUGAUUUGCUUUAGUCUGAUUACAAUUUUGGUCGAAUUAGGGUAAUAAAGAUCUGUUCAAGUUCGACAUCCAUGAAAGUCGAAUUAAACCUCGAUUAUGGUUACUCUCUGCCUCAAACAGAAGGAUCCUAAAGGUAUUAUGCAUUUGCACACGAUAUAGAACAUUCUUUUGUUGUUUCUUUUUUUUUUUUGGUCGAGUUGUUUCUUAUUGGAAAGGUCUUCAUCAAAUGAAACAAGCUUUGGGCAUAAGCUAAUAAGUGUACAGAGGACGACAAAGGGCAAGAUAAUUUGGUUUAUUAUUAAGUAUGAAACACUUGAAAGAUAUAAAAAAUAUGUAAAUAAUGUAAUAUCGAAACAUAUAUUUUUCAAUUUCUUAGUUCAGAUUUUAUCGCAAUGUGCUUCACAAACAUGUGAUUUAUAUUAAAGGAAGUGCGAUGCUUAGUAUAUUAUCAACCAACUAGAAUUAAUUUGUCCAAUUUACACUAAAAUGAAAUUUUAAUUAUAAGAUAACUCAAUUUUCAAACUAAAAUAACCAAGAUUUUAGUUAUCAUAAUUAAUUAAGUAAUUUAAUUCAUUUCAAAAACUGUUAAUAGUACUCGACCAGUAUCUAAGAAUUCUUGUUCCACAAUCAUCAAGUUUUCUAUGACUUAUAUUCUUUUAAAAAACUGUAAUAUGAUAUGAUAUUAGGAUUUAAGUUAAAACUGAUUAAGAAAAAUUCAAGCUUGCGGAUGUUAAUUAUGAUAAUUAAUUAAAGAAAUUUUCAUCGAAAUUUAUAAGUAUAAUUCAUUUCAAAAACUGUUAAUAGUCCGUGACCAGUGACUAAGAAUUCAUGCUCCACAAUCGUCAAGUUGUCUAUGAUUUAUAAUCUUUUAACACCACAUGAAUUGAAAUCGAUGCAAUAUUAUAUGAUAUUAGGAACUAACCAUCAUAAAAUUAAAAUUGAUUCAGAAAAAUUCAACUUCUGGAUGUUAUACUUAGAUUAUCCUAUUAUCAAAUUAAUUUCUUUUUUCCGCAUUUCUUCUGAGAUUCCGUGUUAUUCAUGGCCCGUGUCGCUGCGAUUCAGCUCGAUGUCCCUCCUUAAAGAGCCUAUCAUUUUGACAAACAGUUCAGAAUUGAUCAAAGCCGAGCAACUUUCUUAAAGGCAUCAAAUGGUGCGUAAUCUUUCGUUUUACCUUGAUGGGUGUUUGGUUGUUCUUUUUCUUAGUAGGGGCGUGGCUUCUGGGCUUCCAUUUUUUACUUUCGAUAAUAUUUAUUUUGCUGGAACCAUUAAGCUUCAAAUGAGUUUAUCGCUCUAUUUUUCUCUCUUUUCUCCUUUAAAUUGAAGGCCACGUAGCAUCAAGAAAGAAUUUUGCUUAAUACACGAUGCCAAAAUGACUUGACUGUACAAAGGAAACUGAUUGACCGUUGAUCACUCACUUGGUCACGAAACAAAAUUUCUAUUAAAAUUGGAAAAAAAAAGCACAAAAGAAAAACUAUGCUCGUUAAAGAGACCAAAUUGUUCCAAAGUUUAUUUUAACUGCUCUCGCUCGAAUCUGUCGAUCAGUUAUGAUUAUUGUGUAAAUAGAAAAAUAAAAAGUAAAUGGCGGUACUUUUUCCACUGUUGACAAUAUUAAUCUGAGUCCCGCCUUUUUUUUUUAAGUUCCUUUUUUCGUCAGGUCUAUGGCAUUUUGUAUGUUUCUUCUCCAUUUUCUUUCUUCUUCUUUAUCGUUCUCUCUCGUAGGUAUGUCCCUCUCUGCUCCCUAUUUCCAUUUAUCGCUUUAGCACUGGCCUGCCAAUGGCCUUAUGCCGGUCGCCGGGGCACUCUCCCGUGCCGCACCGGUUUGAAGGCCCGACGGCGAUGCUGGGGUUCAUAGGCUUUGCUCUAGCCAGAAACUCUCCGGCAAUUCGAGCAACCCCCGAGGAGACGAAGGAAACAGAAGCGAAGCGAAGACGAGCGACGGAGAAGGGCACAACAAGACUGAAGGUCUAAGGAGAGAAGACAGCGGUGGUGGUAAUGAGCGGAGGCGAGACACUUUCCUGGAGACGCCUGUGUAGCAAAGGCCCUUCAGCGACGGCAAUGCUCAGAACUUCUAUGGGAAGGAAGACAAUCUCGACAGUAUCAAAAGUAAAGAAGAGGAAAGGAAAAUGGGAUCCAGGAGAAAAGGGAGAAAAGGGAGAAAAGAGAGAGAGAGAAAGAACGCGACACUACCGACCAAAACAAGAAAAGAGGACAACACUUCGUGGAGAAGCAAAGCGGGACUUACGAAGGCUAUAAUAGUAGGAAAAAACGCUGCGAUAGAGCCUUCGAAACUCGGGGAAAAUAGGCAUGGCGGAGACCUCCAUCCACCGCAAAUCCUCUGGCGACCGGCCGAAUCGCACCGACAAAGCAAACCCACCUCCACCUCCUCCUUUGAGCCCUAGGGAUCUCAUCAGCGCCUUGCCGGACGAUGUGAUCCACCGCAUCUUCUCGUUUCUGCCCCUCCAAGACGUCGUCAAGACCAGCGUCCUCUCCAAGCGCUGGCGGCCCACUUGGACCACCGCCACCGACCUGGUCUUCAAUGGAGAGAUUGUAGCCCGGCUUCGCAGUACCCUGGACUUCUCGUCCCUCGUCGACAGCGUCCUGAUACAGUGCAUCUCCCCCACGGUGAAGAGGUUCCACGUCAUCGGCUUCAAGUACGAGAAGGCCCACCGCCUCAAGUUCGACCUCUGGCUACGCUUCGCAGAGGGGCGCCGAGUGGAGGACCUCAGCCUGCUGCUAGUGCCGACUACUAAGCCGCCGACGCCUUAUAUACUGCCGCGGUUCUUGUAUUGCUGGAGUUGGUUGGUGCGCCUUGAAGUCUGGGCGUGCUGUUUCUCGUUGGGUAGGACUAUUAGGUGGCCUUGUCUUAAGAUCUUGGUGAUCGCAAUUUCAAGGUUGAGCGAUGAUAUCCUCGAGGGAAUUUUCAGGGGAUGCCCUGUUCUAGAGUCCCUUGAAUUGUGGGGUUGUUGGGGCACGAAGAACAUUAUGAUAGAUUCAACAAGUGUGAAAGAGUUGGUACUCAUUGGCUUAUGCGACUCUAACAUUCAGACAAUUUGGGCCCCGCAUUUGCUGUCGCUGCGAAUAUCAGGGGAUUGGCAACCUCAUGCCAUGUUAAGACUUAGCGAUGUAUCUUCUUUGGUGGAAGCCAAGUUAGAUUUUUCGAUUCGAGUUCUUACCGAUUUGCCUUGUGACGAGAUGAUGUGCAGCCACAUGUUGAAGGAAACCUUUCAGAAGCUGUGCGGAGUUACUACAAUCACCAUUGGGGCUUGGUGUUUUCAGGUACAAGCUCGAUAUUUUUUACCAUUUUAUAAGACGUACUCGUGUUGAAUCGUGUAUGUGGUUAGCACUUAUUUAGUGGUUUUUGUCGUGCUGGGCGAGUAACCUCAGCUCUCUGUGGCUCUCGUCUUUCAUCAUGGGGAAUUAUUGUGAAAACAUGCAUAAUUAAUUGCUGGCAGAUAGGAUGAUUAAUAAUUUCGUGUUUCAACUUAUAAAGAUGACAACGCAUAGUGAACCUUGGAGCUUCUUCCCUCUGUUUAAUUUCCAAUAAUAUAUUGGGGAUCACUCAAUUGGGAACAAUGAAUGCCACUAGAUAUUGCUAAUUAUUAUGGAUGCUAAUCAAUGUAGCACAGCAAACUCUUGAUUUUCACAAGAAAAAUGCAUAAAGAGAUUAUUUGAAAUGGUUACCUUUUCAUUUCAUUCUUUCAGUUUAUGGAGAAAAUUCAUUUGUUUGAAUAUAUGAUAGAGUAAUGAACCCAGUCAUCUUAGGUUGGUAGGACAAGAUCGCACUCUUGUCACAUAUG
rnacentral:lncRNA from 1 species